GCUAACUACUGAGCUGGACGCUAACUACUGAGCUGGUUGGUCGCUAACUGCUGAGCUAAGUUAGCCUCGCUAGCUAGCUAGCUAGAAGCAACACCUACCUGUACGCAGCUACAGUGUGUUACUGCAAGUCAGUAUUGUAGAAAUAAGGCAUAAAUCUGGAUGUGGACACCCCAUCUUUGGCUGCACUCCCCUGGAUAAAAUGGCUGUGUUGACCCGACACCCUUUAGAAGGUGAGAACGUGAAGAAAUAAAAUAGAAAAUGGAGCCGGACCUGUGCCAUCCAUAUCCAUGAUACCUGUUUCUACCAGAGCCCCCUGGACACUUUGGAUGAAGCCACAGAUCUUCAUCUUCAGCCAAACGUAGCAAGACGCUUGCCUGUCUGGGAGUGGAGGAUGGGUGUAUCUGUGUCGUAAGGUGUUGUGUGUGUGUGUGUGUGUGGUGGGGGGUGCAUAUGAUGGAAGAACGGGGAUGUGUGUCAUGUGGCAUGACGCCGGCCACUCAUCUACUUUCGCCUGGUAAAGAGACAAGCGGACAGAUGGAGAGACAGAGGUGAUGAUCAAAAGGAUUGCAGUCAUGAUGAUGAUGGUGAUGAUGAUGUCGCUGGCUGGACGGACGCCCGCCGCCUCCAUCCAGUUUGCUCUCAUCAAUGUUAAUGCCUCCUUGACAGACGCUACGUGGCCAGCUAAGGACUGAUGUCUGCACACACAAUCCGAAAUAAAGUGGAAAUUGAG